rnacentral:rRNA from 1 species
GACAGAGGGGGCAAGCGUUGUCCGGAUUUACUGGGCGUAAAGAGCGCGCAGGCGGUCGUUCAAGUCGCGUGUGAAAGCCCCCGGCUCAACUGGGGAGGGUCACGCGAUACUGAUCGACUCGAAGGCAGGAGAGGGAAGUGGAAUUCCCGGUGUAGUGGUGAAAUGCGUAGAUAUCGGGAGGAACACCAGUGGCGAAGGCGACUUCCUGGCCUGUUCUUGACGCUGAGGCGCGAAAGCUAGGGGAGCAAACGGG